UGGAGUAGCAGCAGUCUCAGACAAGGGCGGGGGCGGGGGGCGCCUUAAAAAUGUAGGUUUCCAAGGGGAAUUAUGUUACUCAUAAUAAAGUCAGAACUGUGUGACUAAAGAAGAACAUGGAGGAUGGGGGCAGCCCACAUUCACUGCUGCAAUGUUAGGAAGUAGCCAAGCCAGAUGCUGAAGGACAAGAUAGACCUGCCGAUAAGUUGGUUGUCACCUUAAUUUUUCCUUCCCCCAUGUCAUGUACCUGAACAAUUGAAAUCUUUCGUGAUGGCACUAAAGCAUUCAGUCUAUAAGUAAUGUGUGUUAUUGAAAUAGAAAAGAUUCUGCUACCCUUCCUGAAGGUUAUUGGAAGCAUAUCCCAGACAUCAGAAAUGGCACCCUUUAGUUAUGGUGUACAAGUACUAUAUAUGUGCUGGAGGGUAUGUUUUUGUUAUAUUUCCUAAACAAUCAAAUUUUCUUUGAAAAUUCUCCAAUGUAAACAAUUUCAUAUCUCUAGCCAUUUAUAGAAAAAAUAAAUUAUAAAA